rnacentral:rRNA from 1 species
GACGAACGCUGGCGGCGUGCUUAACACAUGCAAGUCGAACGGAAAGGCCCUGCUUUUGUGGGGUGCUCGAGUGGCGAACGGGUGAGUAACACGUGAGUAACCUGCCCUUGACUUUGGGAUAACUUCAGGAAACUGGGGCUAAUACCGGAUAGGAGCUCCUGCUGCAUGGUGGGGGUUGGAAAGUUUCGGCGGUUGGGGCUGGACUCGCGGCUUAUCAGCUUGUUGGUGGGGUAGUGGCUUACCAAGGCUUUGACGGGUAGCCGGCCUGAGAGGGUGACCGGCCACAAUGCGACUGAGAGACGGAGCAGACUGCUACGGGACGCAGCAGUGGGGAAUCUUGCGCAAUGAGCGGGAGCCUGAUGCAGCAACGUCGCGUGCGGGAUGCCGGCCUUCGGGUUGUAAACAGCUUUCGCCUGUGACGAAGCGUGAGUGACGGUAAUGGGUAAAGAAGCACCGGCUAACUACGUG